CCCUGGUUAGCUCAGUUGGUGGAGCGCUCCGCUAGAAAUGGAGAGGUCCCUGGUUCAUACCAGGACCAGGCG
rnacentral:tRNA from 2 species